GAUGAACGCUGACAGAAUGCUUAACACAUGCAAGUCAUUGGCGAAGCUGCGCUUGCGCAGUCUAGCCAAGGCGGACGGGUGAGUAACGCGUAAGGAACUUGCCCUGCAGACAGGGAUAACAGACGGAAACGACUGAUAACACCUGGUAUUGUCAGGCUGGCGCAUGCCGGCCUGAUGAAAGGAGACGCUGCAGGAGAGCCUUGCGUCCUAUUAGCUAGUUGGUGGGGUAACGGCCCACCAAGGCGAUGAUAGGUAGCCGGCCUGAGAGGGAGAACGGCCACAAGGGGACUGAGAUACGGCCCUUACUCCUACGGGAGGCAGCAGUGGGGAAUAUUGGACAAUGGGGGCAACCCUGAUCCAGCAAUUCUGUGUGCACGAAGAAGGUUUUCGGAUUGUAAAGUGCUUUCAGCAGGGAAGAAGAAAGUGACGGUACCUGCAGAAGAAGCGACGGCUAAAUACGUG
rnacentral:rRNA from 1 species